rnacentral:rRNA from 1 species
UACGGGGGGAGCAAGCGUUGUUCGGAUUUACUGGGCGUAAAGGGCGCGUAGGCGGCCAGCACAAGUCAGUUGUGAAAUCUCCGGGCUUAACUCGGAAAGGUCAACUGAUACUGUGCGGCUAGAGUGCAGAAGGGGCAACUGGAAUUCUCGGUGUAGCGGUGAAAUGCGUAGAUAUCGAGAGGAACACCUGCGGCGAAGGCGGGUUGCUGGGCUGACACUGACGCUGGUGCGCGAAAGCCAGGGGAGCGAACGGG